rnacentral:tRNA from 1 species
AGCGCGGUAGGGCAGCCUGGAGUGCCCGCCGACGAUAAGACCCGGAGGUCCCUGGUUCAAAUCCAGGCCGCGCUA